rnacentral:rRNA from 1 species
GUGGGGAAUAUUGGACAAUGGGCGCAAGCCUGAUCCAGCCAUGCCGCGUGAGUGAUGAAGGCCUUAGGGUUGUAAAGCUCUUUAGCCGAUGAUUAUAAUGACUGUAGUCGGAAAAUAAGCCCCGGCUAACUUCGUGCCAGCAGCCGCGGUAAUACGAAGGGGGCGAGCGUUAUUCGGAAUCACUGGGCGUAAAGCGUGCGUAGGCGGCUUUGCAAGUUGGGAGUGAAAGCCCAGGGCUCAACCCUGGAAUUGCUCUCAAAACUGCAAGGCUCGAAUUCGGGAGAGGAUAGCGGAAUUGUCAGUGUAGCAGUGAAAUGCGUAGAUAUUGACAGGAACACCAGUGGCGUAAGCGGCUAUCUGGACCGAUAUUGACGCUGAGGCACGAAAGCGUGGGGAUCAAACAGGAUUAGAUACCCGAGUAGUCC